AGAGUUUGAUCCUGGCUCAGAACGAACGCUGGCGGCGUGCCUAACACAUGCAAGUCGAACGCGAACGAAAUCUUCGGAUUUCAAGUAGAGUGGCGCACGGGAGAGUAACACGUGGAUAACCUGCCCCAAAGUCUGGGAUAACACUUCGAAAGGGGUGCUAAUACCGGAUAAGCCCACGACAACCUCGGUUGAUGUGGGAAAAGAUUUAUUGCUUUGGGAUGGGUCCGCGGUCCAUUAGCUAGUUGGUGGGGUAAUGGCCUACCAAGGCUGCGAUGGAUAGCUGGUCUGAGAGGAUGAUCAGCCACACUGGAACUGAGACACGGUCCAGACUCCUACGGGAGGCAGCAGUGGGGAAUUUUGCGCAAUGGGGGAAACCCUGACGCAGCAACGCCGCGUGAAGGAUGAAGGCCUUUGGGUCGUAAACUUCUGUCAGAGGGGAAGAAAUGCCCGCAAGGGAGCUGACGGUACCCUCAAAGGAAGCACCGGCUAACUCCGUGCCAGCAGCCGCGGUAAUACGGAGGGUGCAAGCGUUGUUCGGAAUUAUUGGGCGUAAAGAGCAUGUAGGCGGACUGUUAAGUCUGGUGUGAAAGCCCGGGGCUCAACCCCGGAAGUGCAUUGGAUACUGGCAGUCUUGAGUAUGGGAGAGGAAAGUGGAAUUCCGAGUGUAGGAGUGAAAUCCGUAGAUAUUCGGAGGAACACCAGUGGCGAAGGCGGCUUUCUGGACCAAUACUGACGCUGAGAUGCGAAAGCGUGGGGAGCGAACAGGAUUAGAUACCCUGGUAGUCCACGCCGUAAACGAUGGGUACU
rnacentral:rRNA from 1 species